rnacentral:rRNA from 1 species
UACGUAGGUGGCAAGCGUUGUCCGGAUUUAUUGGGUUUAAAGGGUGCGUAGGCGGUCUUUUAAGUCAGUGCUGAAAUACUCCAGCUUAACUGGAGGGGUGGCAUUGAUACUGGAAGACUUGAGUGUAGUCGAGGUAGGCGGAAUUGACGGUGUAGCGGUGAAAUGCUUAGAUAUCGUCAAGAACACCGAUAGUGAAGACAGCUUACUAGGCUACAACUGACGCUGAGGCACGAAAGUGUGGGGAUCAAAC